CAUGUCGUGCUGAAAAAUUAAAGAAGUUGUAAUUCAAUGUACAGCACGUUGUACAGCACGUAGUUUGCAUGUAAUUCGCAUCAUUCACUACAAUACACGAUAACGUGCAUAACAGCACGUAAUGCAUGUAAUGCAGAAUUACCGUUUAGCGAGCGCUUAAUUGCAUGAACUAUAAAAUGUGCAUCAUAGUGACU